rnacentral:rRNA from 1 species
AAUUCGACGCAACGCGAAGAACCUUACCAGGCCUUGACAUACUCGGCAAAGCUCUAGAGAUAGAGUGGAGGUUAUCCGGGAUACAGGUGGUGCAUGGUUGUCGUCAGCUCGUGUCGUGAGAUGUUGGGUUAAGUCCCGCAACGAGCGCAACCCUUGUCUUUAGUUACCAUCAUUCAGUUGGGGACUCUAGAGAGACUGCCGGUGAUAAACCGGAGGAAGGUGGGAUGACGUCAAAUCAUCAUGCCCCUUAUGACCUGGGCUACACACGUGCUACAAUGGUUGGUACAACGAGUUGCGAGUCGGUGACGGCGAGCUAAUCUCUUAAAGCCAAUCUCAGUUCGGAUUGUAGGCUGCAACUCGCCUACAUGAAGUCGGAAUCGCUAGUAAUCGCGGAUCAGCACGCCGCGGUGAAUACGUUCCCGGGCCUU